rnacentral:tRNA from 1 species
GGCUGUGGCUCAGCAGUAGACUGUCCGCUUGGUAUGCAGAAGGCCCCAGGUUCAAUCCCCAGCAUUGCCA